UACGUAGGAGGCGAGCGUUAUCCGGAAUCACUGGGCGUAAAGCGUGCGUAGGUGGCGCGUUAAGUGUGAUGUUAAAUCGCGGGGCUCAACCCUGUCGAUGCAUCGCAUACUGGCGUGCUAGAGGGAAGCAGAGGCAAGUGGAACUAGUAGUGUAGCAGUGAAAUGCGUAGAUAUUACUAAGAACACCAAUGGCGAAGGCAGCUUGCUGGGCUUCUUCUGACACUGAGGUACGAAAGCGUGGGGAGCGAACAGG
rnacentral:rRNA from 1 species